rnacentral:rRNA from 1 species
GGGCCUAAAGCGUCCGUAGCCGGUUUAAUAAGUCUCUGGUGAAAUCCUGGUAGCUUAACUGGUGGGAAUUGCUGGAGAUACUAUAGACUUGAGACCGGGAGAGGUUAGAGGUACUCCAGGGUAGAGGUGAAAUUCUGUAAUCCUGGGAGGACCGCCUGUUGCGAAGGCGUCUAACUGGAACGGUUCUGACGGUGAGGGACGAAAGUUAGGGGCGCGAACCGGAUUAGAUACCCGGGUAGUCCUAACUGUAAACGAUGCGGACUUGGUGUUGGGGUGGCUUUGAGCUGCUCCAGUGCCGAAGGGAAGCUGUUAAGUCCGCCGCCUGGGAAGUACGGUCGCAAGACUGAAACUUAAGGAAUUGCGGGGGAGCACCACAACGCGUGGAGCCUGCCGGUUUAAUUGGAUUCAACGCCGGACAUCUCACCAGAGGCGACAGCUGUAUGAUAGCCAGGUUGAUGACUUUGCUUGACUAGCUGAGUGGUGGUGCAUGG